AAUAAUUUCAGUCUAUAGUGAAUAAAUGAUCACACCAAAAUAGACUGAAACUUUGGUUAAGCAAGGUUUGUGUUUUAAAUAUUUUCUGUGUUCUGGAUAAUUUCCAGUAAUCCGUACUCCCUAAAAUGCAGUAAAAAACAAAAAAAAACUAGUAAGUUUUCACAGUAUAGGUUUUCUUCAAAAAUUCUGUAACAAACAUAUUUAAUGUGGUGUUGCCAUAAUGUAAUUUCAGUGUUCUUACAGGAUAAAUCCAUCUUAUGAAUAUUUUGCAGAAAAUUUGGGGUAUAUUUUCUUUUUAAUGAUCAGAAAUUCAGAGGUGCUCAAUUCCUUGUAAAAUCUCUUGACAUACAGUUUACUGUAUUAGUGGCUGAUUAUUUAUGCUUUAUGAACUUAAAUAAUGUUCAUGAAAAUUAACUUACGGCAUAAUUUUAAGUUGUAGAAAUAAUUGUUGAUUGCAACUUAACAGUCCUAGAAGAUAAGCAGGGAACAACUCCAAGAAGUGUUUUCUAUUUUACUUGAUUUAGUGACAACCAGGAAAACUUGAGUUAGCACUUUGAAACCUAAGGACAUGAUUAAAUUGGGUGGAAUGCACUUCUAAAUGUUGAAAUUAAAAUUUCAAAGCUCUUCUAAGAUGUCAGGUUUUCAAUAAUAAGUUUUAAGUUUUUGUAUUCCACUUUUUACUACUUAAACUUACAGAAUUUCCAUAGUAACUUUUAAGGUUUGGGGGUUAUGCUAUAUAAGUACAAGAACCAUCCUGGGCAAAACAACAAUUUACAGCAGAUUUGUUCUUUUAAUGAAACAAUAAGAAUACCCAGCAGAGAUGCUGCAGAGAAUUCAAAGAACCUUUAUAGCAAUUGUUUAUCCCCCACUUGUAAACAGUGUUUUAAGAUGUUCACUUUGCUCUCUUCGGUUACAUAAAUUUUAGUAACCAUUCUAUUGAAAUAGUGUCUAAAAUAGAGUAUCUAGUCUUUAUUCACAGUACAUUAUAUUAUGUAAUGCACUGGACUAACUUUUGUUUACCAUUCAUGUAACAAAACCCAGCACGUUAUCUGCACUAAACUCAAGGAAUGUCCCAUUUGCCUAGGCAGCUCUUUAAUAAGGGUAAUGGGAAACUGAAUAUGACCUAUGGACUGAUGGUAACAAGGGCUUUUACUGUUCUUUUCAGUGGAACCUUCAUUGUAACUAGCUAGUAUUAUAUUUAUAUACAGGGUCUCUUUUCUUUACUGAUGUAUUUUCCUACUCAUAGCCAACCAAUAAAUUCAAUUAUCUGUUUCAAAUAUUUUUAAAGUGUAAUUUGUAUAGCUGUAGUACUGAGGUUUGAGGAGAUACACGUUAAUCAGCAGACCACCUGUUUAAAAUUCUGAGUUCUCUGGAACAGAGUUGUAACUCUUUGAAAGGGAAGAGUGAACAGGGCCCAUGAUGUGAGAAGAUGGUGUGAAAUUAAGGAUCUCCUUAUUGCUGUGUUAUCCUGUGUAACACAUCUUUGCCAAAGAUCAGUUUUAUAUUUAGGCAACUGAUGGUCCUUUUGCAUUUAGGUUUUUUGUUGUUGUUACCAUAUACCUCAUAGCAUAAGAAAUGGGCUCAUGUGUCUUUCAUCCUUUGGAAUGAGCUUGACGUAUUUUGAAUAAAUGCUUUUAAAUACAGUAGCAAACAUUGUAUUGGUGGGGUUAUACUAAUUAAUUAAAUGUUUUAAUUGUUACAUGUAUAUUUUGUUGUAUAUAUAAACUUUUAAAAUGUCUGAUUUCUCAACUCUUCAGAGCAUUACGUCUAUUUACUUUUUAGAAACUACUUCUUUAAUAAAUAAAUGUAAAUUUUUAUGUAGAUGCUGGGAAAAAAAUCCUUUAAAAAUACAGCACAAUUUAGAU
rnacentral:lncRNA from 1 species